GGGCGCGGGGACGCUCCCUGGGCAUCCCCCUGACAGACAUUUUUGCCGCUCUCUGCAAGUGGUUUUGGAGCAUUUCCUUCGCCCAGCAGCCGGGCUGGGAAAGAAGGGCAGGUGGUCUGUUAUACAUCUAUUUUCUAGCUCUGCAAGGGAGUUUUCAUUCUCCUCUCCAUUCUACAGAUGAGGAAGUUGGGAGCCAGAGAGGUGAGGUGAUGUGAUUCCCAAUCCAGUGCUCUUUCAUGUCAGGACCGAUGAGAUUUAGCCUCAGGCAUGACAUAAAACUUACCACUUGGACCAUUUUUUAAGUGUACAAUUCAGGUUUCAGAGAGCCCUGAUUUUACAACAGAUGUCAUCUACUGAGAUCAAGUGAUUAAAAAAAAGAAAUCAACUGAUUAGAACUUCAAAGCAUAUGUAAAAAUCUACAUAUUAUUGCCUUAGAACAGAGCACUUUGUAAAAUAAAAGUAUUCUAUAAUCUAUA